rnacentral:lncRNA from 10 species
UAAAGGAUUAACUUUGCCCUGGAGAGGUUUGGCCCUUUUGCUCCCAGCUGCAGGGCUGUAAUUUCUAAGCCCUUGGAAUGUUCUGCCUGUAGGAGUGUCUUUGUUUACUGGAGGUCUUGAGCAAUACCAGAUAGUCUGUGCUUACAAUGUAACUUUUGGUGGGGGGGCCUUUGGACAUGUGGUACCACUCAAGCUCCAGAGGGGUUAGAGACUAAGGGUAGUCACAUGGGUGAACAGAAUGUCCGAAUGGCCAACUCCCAGUAAAAACUCUGGACAACAAAGCUUGGGUCCUAGACAGUGCAAUACACAAAAGAAAUAUGAGCUAUAAUUAUUGGAAUGAAGAAACUGUCAUGAUUACAGAAGGAGAGGAAAAGGCCCAACACCUGCCUGUCAGGGCUCCUGGAUCACGCCCUGCUGCCUGCUGACCUAUAUUGGACUCGAGCCCUUCUUCUGGCAUGCUCACCUGUUAACCCACCUAUCAGCCCACACCUCUGACUGCUGGCUGCUCCCCAUUGAGCCUGAAAUACUGUGCUAUCUGCCUGUACCCUUUUGCAUAAGCUGGGGUUGGGUUAUCUCAGAUUUCUAUUUGGGUCAAGAUUGCCACAUACCUCACCUCUUCUGUUCUGGUCCUCAUCCUGUGUUCCUGGACAAAAAUAACAUUUGAGUAGAAAGCUUUUCUACUUGUUGACAUAGUUGAACAGAUUUUGCUUUAUUGAGAUGAAAUGGAGCCUAAAUUUAUCUGGAAAUGUGUGGAAUCAGUAGAGAGAAGUAAACACAACUCGAAGAAAGCGGGAAACCCCUGUGUACAAUUCAGCUUUUUCACUCCCAGGGAGUUGGGCAUGAUUGUAAAGAAUGAUGUUUUCAAGCCUGCCAAUAACAGAACACGUCUGUAUCCAUUGUGGAUGGGCUUCUUUGAGAAAGCUUCCUUUUCGCCCAAGUAGAGGAGCUCUUCACUGCCCUAAGAUUCUGCUUUCCUACUCCCAUGUCAGAGCAGGAAAAGGUGAAUAUUUUUCACACAGAAUAGCCUCAUCCAUUCCCACGGGGAGUGAGAUAGUUCCUGUAGGGUGCUAGUGAUGGCAUAAAAUUACAGCUCACUAGAGAAACAGUUGCGAGUAAAGAAAUAUAUACAUUUCCUCUAUUUGUGUUCCCUGUCUGUGUUGUCUAAGUUGCAAACAACAGACUCCACUUCAGCUAGGUUAAAGGGAAAAGAGGUUUAAUAAAGAAAAUUAAAUAGCUUAUAGCAUCACUGGGGAACUAGAGAAACAGAUUUAAGGCUAAGCUUCCAGAAACAUAUCCCAAAACAUGCCCCCAAACCGUGACACUGACAUGAAGAGACAGUUGUCAUUGCUGCUUUAUUGAACAGAGGACUGAGAAUUUUUCUACAGUCACUGCUGUUCUCUGCACUGAUGGAAGCCAAGCCUGCCUGGAGAACUCAACUUUGCAACCCAAAGCUGGUGGCUAAUGUGGCUACCCCUACCAACAAAAUGGAAACUCCACCAGGUGUCUGAAUCCAGCUCUCACGACCAUUUAGUGGAGCAGGAAGAAACUGCAGGCCUUUUGGAGGUAUUUCCUUGUGAUUCUGGUCCAAUCCACCACCACCGUCUCACGCUUAGAACCCUGCAAUCCUUCCUGAAGGAGGGCAUUUUGGAAGUGCAACUGGGUCUGCAGUCCUUGACACAGAAACACACUGACUCAACACCUUCUGACGCUGGAGACUUAUGCUUGACAAUUGCCCUUCAAGGAUAAGAAAAAUCCCAGCAAGGCACCGUCCUUGGUUUCAAUGAUGCCCAGAGAAAAGAAAAAGAAAAAAGAAUAUAAAUCUGAUUUCUUUUCCAUUGAAGCAGUUUUAAUGCUUCCAGUGAAACACAGAAAAUAAAGAUUUGUAAUUGGGAGUUCAAGGCCAUCCAUAGCUUCUCUCCUGAGCUUCGUCUCUACAUGUAGAUUUCUUGAGUUCUAGCAUUCCAAUGGUACCAUGUUUACAUCUUUUUAUUUUGGGACCUUGAUGGAAUAAAUGGAGCUAUGUAGUCUACCAGAGUAUGACAGAUAAUGGAUAGCUCGUCAUUUAAAACAAUCUUUUUUGCCGCUAAUAAUUAUACUAGAAUUUUAAAUAUGCUACCUCUUCCACCAGAUGGUCUUGAAUAAUGCUUCCAUCUACUUAAUUGUGCUUUUUGUAAAUCAGUUGCAUAAAAUCUUUUGAUGCAGUUUCAAAGAUCCCUUUUGUAGAAGCACGGAGAUCAUGUAAUUGGCUGAGAACAACUAUCCAGUCUGAGAGGAUGACCUUUUACCCUCUACCCAAAAAGAGCACUCCAGAGAGAAAGGUGCCGUAAUCUGGGUUUAAGGCUUCUUACCAUCAUGUGGAGAGCCUGUUUCCUGUGCCACACACACAGUGGCAAGAAAGCUCAGCUUCAACAUUAAUGUAGAACUUCCCACGUUGCUCUUGAGAAAAUCCACUCCUUAAAGAGGAAGAAAGGACCUCACCCCAUGCCUCCCUCCCUCGGUGGAGAUGCCCACACAUGGGCACUCGGAACCAGUUGCAGGCAACUGUGAAUUGGGAGGAAGGAAAGAAGAGAUUAGGACUGAAAGAGGUGAGUAUGUUCAAGUCUGUUUCUAGUGUAGAGAUAGCGAGAUGGUCACCCGUUAAUUCAUUUGCAAGGCUGAGAGUAAUGCUGAAUCCUGGCUUAGGACACCAGUAGAUGACUUCCCAACAAAUAAGUGGACAAAAAGAUGACACCACCACCUGAAGGAACUUUUAAAGCAAUGAAUGAAGCACCUUGAAAAGUUAGAUUUUGGUUAAGAGACACAUCCCCAAAGUUAAAUGAAAAGGUAGAACCUGGCUUUGCAAAACUGAUGAAAAAUGGCCAUGUAUGCUACAAAGUAAGACCCUUUUUUUGACAUUUUUUUUUUUCCAUGAGAGUCAACAGGGGAAAGUUUGGCUAAUGUUUUCUAUCACUAAAGACUUAAAAAAUAACUGGAAACAUUCCCAUAGGCUUUGUUUGUUUGUUUUUAAGAGGCUUGUUUCUCGUUUUUCCAUGCAAAUUAAAAUUCCUAGUGUGGCUUCUAUAAAUUUGAACUUUUGAAAACUUUCCCUUAGCAUUUGGCUCAAAGUGUAGCUGGCACUUCCGUGUGACAACAGAGAAAUUUCAGUUCUGCUUUUCUUCAGAGCUGCGUGUUAUGGGUUAGAUAAGUAAACUUGGCUUUCUCUGUUCUAACGACAG